rnacentral:rRNA from 1 species
UAGGGAAUCUUCCACAAUGGACGCAAGUCUGAUGGAGCAACGCCGCGUGAGUGAAGAAGGUUUUAGGAUCGUAAAGCUCUGUUGUUGGUGAAGAAGGAUAGAGGCAGUAACUGGUCUUUAUUUGACGGUAAUCAACCAGAAAGUCACGGCUAACUACGUUCCAG